GCCCAGAGCCUGAAUCAGUGUGUGUGUUAGUGGAAGCGUCUGGAAAGGCGCGCGAUACAGGGUGACAGCCCCGUACACAAAAAUGCACAUGCUGUGAGCUCGAUGAGUAGGGCGGGACACGUGGUAUCCUGUCUGAAUAUGGGGGGACCAUCCUCCAAGGCUAAAUACUCCUGACUGACCGAUAGUGAACCAGUACCGUGAGGGAAAGGCGAAAAGAACCCCGGCGAGGGGAGUGAAAAAGAACCUGAAACCGUGUACGUACAAGCAGUGGGAGCACGCUUAGGCGUGUGACUGCGUACCUUUUGUAUAAUGGGUCAGCGACUUAUAUUCUGUAGCAAGGUUAACCGAAUAGGGGAGCCGAAGGGAAACCGAGUCUUAACUGGGCGUUAAGUUGCAGGGUAUAGACCCGAAACCCGGUGAUCUAGCCAUGGGCAGGUUGAAGGUUGGGUAACACUAACUGGAGGACCGAACCGACUAAUGUUGAAAAAUUAGCGGAUGACUUGUGGCUGGGGGUGAAAGGCCAAUCAAACCGGGAGAUAGCUGGUUCUCCCCGAAAGCUAUUUAGGUAGCGCCUCGUGAAUUCAUCUCCGGGGGUAGAGCACUGUUUCGGCAAGGGGGUCAUCCCGACUUACCAACCCGAUGCAAACUGCGAAUACCGGAGAAUGUUAUCACGGGAGACACACGGCGGGUGCUAACGUCCGUCGUGAAGAGGGAAACAACCCAGACCGCCAGCUAAGGUCCCAAAGUCAUGGUUAAGUGGGAAACGAUGUGGGAAGGCCCAGACAGCCAGGAUGUUGGCUUAGAAGCAGCCAUCAUUUAAAGAAAGCGUAAUAGCUCACUGGUCGAGUCGGCCUGCGCGGAAGAUGUAACGGGGCUAAACCAUGCACCGAAGCUGCGGCAGCGACACUAUGUGUUGUUGGGUAGGGGAGCGUUCUGUAAGCCUGUGAAGGUGUGCUGUGAGGCAUGCUGGAGGUAUCAGAAGUGCGAAUGCUGACAUAAGUAACGAUAAAGCGGGUGAAAAGCCCGCUCGCCGGAAGACCAAGGGUUCCUGUCCAACGUUAAUCGGGGCAGGGUGAGUCGACCCCUAAGGCGAGGCCGAAAGGCGUAGUCGAUGGGAAACAGGUUAAUAUUCCUGUACUUGGUGUUACUGCGAAGGGGGGACGGAGAAGGCUAUGUUGGCCGGGCGACGGUUGUCCCGGUUUAAGCGUGUAGGCUGGUUUUCCAGGCAAAUCCGGAAAAUCAAGGCUGAGGCGUGAUGACGAGGCACUACGGUGCUGAAGCAACAAAUGCCCUGCUUCCAGGAA
rnacentral:rRNA from 1 species